CCUACGGGGGGCAGCAGUGGGGAAUAUUGGGCAAUGGGGGCAACCCUGAUCCAGCCAUGCCGCGUGUGUGAAGAAGGCCCUCGGGUUGUAAAGCACUUUCAGUGAGGAAGAACGCCUGGUGGUUAAUACCCAUCAGGAAAGACAUCACUCACAGAAGAAGCACCGGCUAACUCCGUGCCAGCAGCCGCGGUAAUACGGAGGGUGCGAGCGUUAAUCGGAAUUACUGGGCGUAAAGCGCGCGUAGGUGGCUUGAUAAGCCGGUUGUGAAAGCCCCGGGCUCAACCUGGGAACGGCAUCCGGAACUGUCAAGCUAGAGUGCAGGAGAGGAAGGUAGAAUUCCCGGUGUAGCGGUGAAAUGCGUAGAGAUCGGGAGGAAUACCAGUGGCGAAGGCGGCCUUCUGGACUGACACUGACACUGAGGUGCGAAAGCGUGGGUAGCAAACAGGAUUAGAUACCUGAGUAGUC
rnacentral:rRNA from 1 species